AUGGCUAAGCGUUUGAUUCCAACUUUCAACCGCAUCCUCGUCGAGAAAAUCGUCCCUCCUUCCAAAACCUCCGCCGGGAUCCUCCUCCCGGAGAAAACCUCUCAGCUUAAUUCGGGAAAGGUUGUUGCUGUUGGACCUGGAUCGAGAGAUAGAUCGGGAAAUUUGAUUCCGGUGUCUGUCAAGGAAGGUGACCACGUUCUGUUGCCGGAGUACGGUGGUUCUCAAAUUAAGCUUAAUGACAAAGAGUUUCAUUUGUUUAGGGAUGAGGACAUUUUGGGGAUUCUGCAUGAUUGA